rnacentral:tRNA from 1 species
GGAAUUAUGACUGAAUGGUUAAGGUGUCAGUUUGCUAAACUGAUGGUUAUUAAACCGUAUAGGUUCAACCCCUAUUGAUUCCA